AGAGUUUGAUCCUGGCUCAGAACGAACGCUGGCGGCGUGGCUAAGACAUGCAAGUCGUACGGACCGCGGUAGCAAUAUUGCGGUUAGUGGCGAAGGGGUGAGUAAUGCAUGGGUAACGUACCCUGAACUCGGGGAUAACAGCGGGAGCAAUCCCUUUAGCGAAAGUGCUGCUAAUACCCGAUGAAGUCGCCGGGUCGCAUGACCGGGCGACCAAAGGUGGGGACCGCAAGGCCUGCCGGUUUGGGAGCGGCCCAUGUCCUAUCAGCUAGUUGGUGAGGUAACGGCUUACCAAGGCUAUGACGGGUAGCCGGACUGAGAGGUCGAUCGGCCACAUCGGGACUGAGACACUGCCCGGACACCUACGGGUGGCUGCAGUAACGAAUAUUGGGCAAUGGGCGCAAGCCUGACCCAGCGACGCCGCGUGCAGGAGGAAGUCCUUCGGGAUGUAAACUGCUGUCAGGGGCUAGCAAGCAAAGGGUGUUAACAGCAUCCGGCGUUGAGCCGCCCCAGAGGAAGCCUCGACUAACUCUGUGCCAGCAGUCGCGGUAAGACAGAGGAGGCAAGCGUUGUUCGGAAUCACUGGGCUUAAAGCGCGUGUAGGCGGCGGCGCAAGUGUCGUGUGAAAUCCCACGGCUCAACCGUGGAACUGCACGGCAAACUACGUCGCUUGAGGUUGGUAGAGGUGCCUGGAACUCUCGGUGGAGCGGUGAAAUGCGUUGAUAUCGAGAGGAACGCCGGAAGCGAAAGCGAGGCACUGGGCCGAUUCUGACGCUGAGACGCGAAAGCGUGGGGAGCAAACAGGAUUAGAUACCCUGGUAGUCCACGCUGUAAACGAUGC
rnacentral:rRNA from 1 species